UUGGGCGUUAACGGCGGCAACGGUAAUUCGCUGUCAUCGAAAUCCUCCGCCGAGCCGUAUAGGUCCUCAUCGUCUGGCUGAUAUGUGACUUUGACUUGCUUCAUUUUUAACACGUCAUUGGUGUCGGCAUCGUUGUUGCCACCACCGGCAUGUUUGCCUGCAGGAUUUUUACGAUUCGGACCGGGAAUUUCUGUGUGGCGAGUGCGCGUAAGAUUGAGCGUAGAGCCAUGAAACGAAAUAUAUAAAAUAACAAACUGUAAGCGAAUAUAAGUGUAAAGAAACUCUAUAACAGCAGAUGAAGUAAAAGUAAAAAGUGAAGAAAGUAAAGCGCAAAAAGAAAACAAAACACAAAAACAACAAGGGUGAGUAAAUUCGCGCGAAUGUUAAUCAAGGUUGGCCCUAACUCUCGCGCUUCAUUUUACGGCCAUCAACGUGGGCAGAACAUUACCAACAUAAUUGAAAUAAAGUCAAAAGUAUCAGGAGAAGUUACUUAAAAUAUAUAUUAUAUAAAAAUAAAAAAAUAAAAAAGAGCAAAUAAAAAAAAAAAAAAAAUACACAUAAGUAAAUGCCCUGCAGCCAAUAAAAAGCGUAAUUUGAUGGCGGAAUAGUGUAUUUUAAACUCACCAUAAAGUCUUAUGCUACUAUCUACCUCACCAAGUGAAUUCUUCGCUAUGCAGCGAUACGAGCCGACAUCGUCUUUUUGGAAUUUACGCACAAUCAUUGUCAUCUUCGUCUCAUACAUGGAUUUUGAGGAUUCCUGUACAUGAUAUUUUGAUGAGGACACAAUCAUUUCACCUGUUGAUGAAAGAUACAAAUGAAUGCAUGCGUAUGCACAUUUAUUUAUAUGUGGUGGCGGCUUUAUAAUAAUUGCGAGAGCUGCAUAACGACAUAGAGGAAAAUUCUUAGUCAUGCAAGAGCAUCAUAUAAAAGAUGCUACUUACGGGAACUGGUAAGGAUACACAACAGGUGUCUCUGAACCUUAGCACACAGUUAUAAAAAUAACCACUUAGUGAAUCACAUGAAUGUAUGUGCCAUAAUACCAAUUAGCGUGAUUGCGUGUCUGGACGCUAACUUCCUGCCAUAGCUGUCAAAGUACAUACCCAAACAAACUUAUAUUGUUGCACGGAAAUAAAAAUUCUCACAUGACGUCCACCUUGAUGGGCGCAUAAAAAUCACCUUUUAAUAAACAGCAAAGACAACUACCCAACAACUUAUGGCCACAUAAAUUGGUAGCAACAAAUGAGCGAAAAGCACAUUACCGGCAAUGUAGCCGGGAAAUUUACGCCCAACAAAGACGAGGAGUGCUGGUGGAAGAAAAUUCUAUAGGAAAUAGUUGGCAGCUGUGAAAAAAGGAAAAAAGCAAAUAAUUUGCUACUUUCUUGUAGCCCACAAACAGGAGUUAUAAAUAUCUUGAGAAAGAUGUGUAGGUAUCCAAG